AUGCCGGCGACCCGCGCUUCGCGCUGCACCUCUGAUCCGCGCCACCCCGGCCGGAUUUGGAUGGCUGGCGUCUGGCGGCGCUGGCUAGCGACGGUGGCGGCUGACGGGAAUCGCGGGCGAAAGCCUUGCCGAGCCAUUUGGCUGGCUGACAACGGCGACGCCAUUUGGCGUCGUUCCCCUCCUUGGAGGCGUUGUUUUAGCAUACCCUUUUCCUUUCCCUACCAUAUUCUCUGGGUGAAAACCUUGCUUCGGUUCCGAACGAGCGGUGGCGGCGAUCCACAUCGCAUCCUCCUUGGGGCACCGUUUUGGAGAAACCUCUUCGUGCAAGGAUAUUGUCAUUCCACAUUUUGUUUUGCUUUUCUCAGUUUGGGUCCUCUCUUCUCUUGUUUGGUGUGUUCAACUUGUCUUGAACUACACUCUCUUCUGGAGUGGAUCUUUGUAAUAAUUGGCUGUAGUUCUUUUUGAGCAAAGGCCG
rnacentral:lncRNA from 1 species